AGAUUGAACGCUGGCGGCAGGCCUAACACAUGCAAGUCGAGCGGUAGAGAGGUGCUUGCAUCUCUUGAGAGCGGCGGACGGGUGAGUAAUGCCUAGGAAUCUGCCUAGUGGUGGGGGAUAACGUUCGGAAACGGACGCUAAUACCGCAUACGUCCUACGGGAGAAAGGCGGGGGACCUUCGGGCCUCGCGCCAUUAGAUGAGCCUAGGUCGGAUUAGCUAGUUGGUGAGGUAAUGGCUCACCAAGGCGACGAUCCGUAACUGGUCUGAGAGGAUGAUCAGUCACACUGGAACUGAGACACGGUCCAGACUCCUACGGGAGGCAGCAGGUGGGGAAUA
rnacentral:rRNA from 1 species